rnacentral:lncRNA from 1 species
ACGAGAGCAGAGUCACAGCUCUGGGCGACUGCAUGGCAAUUCAUUCGCUCAAAUCUUGGGCGACUUGCAACCUUGGGCGAUGGUAUUUUUGCGUUCAUGGGCUUCCUUAUUUGGGCCUUUAUCUUGCAUUGCCUGACUGAUUCGUUCUUUGGACUAUCUGAUUUUGGGGAUUUUCCAGUUGAGCUUCAUUCCUUGGGCUAUUCGACUUGGGCAGAACUUUUUGUAUGUCAACAAUUACCCCCCAAUAUGGUAGAAUUAAUACCAAUUAUUAAUUUUGCCAUAUUCACUUUGUGUUUCCCAACAACAUUCGAAAUUCUCAAGAAUUUCAAUCAUUGUUUUCUUCUAUAGCCUGAAAAGGUGCGACGUUUGCAAACCCUUAUAACCCCCAAAUACGCUAUUUCAUUGCACCACUAAAUCACGCCUCAUUUUUUCGCGCCUCUCUCGCAAUAUUACUGUUCAUCUCCUUGCUUCUCUGCUACGUAACUCUGCAAAACUCUAUUUCGUCCCUAAUGGCUGCUUCACAAUCUCAGUCUGGUGACUCCUUCAGUUUUGAAGACUUUCAGAAACUCCUUACUCGGCCAUAUGUAACUCCGAACUUUCUUGCACCGACCAAUGUAGAACUUAAUGAGUUCUAUCUAGGUCCUUCAUUCAACAAUGCCGAGGCCAUCGAACAAGCGGCGGUCGGUCAGCUGUUCCCUUGUACUCAUGGCCCUCCGUUUCUAAAUUCUUUACCACUGGGGCCACUUCGCGAAAGAGGUAUUCGCACUUAGCCUAAAUCUGAUGUCGUUUUUCGUAGAUGGCAUGCUCGCCUUGUGGACCAUGGUCCUAUUAAGACAAUUUUUGAUAAUACUAGGAUUUCUGAUUUAUUAGAAAUCUCUCUUCAACCCCCUAUUUUUGACCCAGUACUUUUUCCUAUCGCUUUAAGUUUUUGGUCUACUGAGUAUAAUACUUUUGUUUUUCCUCUCGGUCCCAUGUCCAUUACCUUAAGGGAUAUUGGAGCCCUAGUAAAUCUGCCACCUUUGGGUGAUACCAUUUUCCCUGGUAUCCUGAUUUCUGGUGCCG